GGGCCCGCACAAGCGGUGGAGCAUGUGGUUUAAUUCGAUGCAACGCGAAGAACCUUACCAGGACUUGACAUACUACGAAUUCUUCUGAGAAGAAGAAGUGCCUUCGGGAACGUAGAUACAGGUGGUGCAUGGCUGUCGUCAGCUCGUGUCGUGAGAUGUUGGUUAAGUCCCGCAACGAGCGCAACCCUCGUCCUAUGUUGCCAGCACGUAAUGGUGGGAACUCAUGGGAUACUGCCGGGGUCAACUCGGAGGAAGGUGGGGAUGACGUCAAAUCAUCAUGCCCCUUAUGUCUUGGGCUUCACGCAUGCUACAAUGGCCGGUACAGAGGGCUGCAAUACCGCAAGGUGGAGCGAA
rnacentral:rRNA from 1 species